UACGUAGGGGGCGAGCGUUGUCCGGAAUUACUGGGUGUAAAGGGCGUGUAGGCGGGACUGCAAGUCAGAUGUGAAAGACCGGGGCUCAACCCCGGGGCUGCAUUUGAAACUGUAGUUCUUGAGUGCAGGAGAGGAAAGCGGAAUUCCUAGUGUAGCGGUGAAAUGCGUAGAUAUUAGGAGGAACACCAGUGGCGAAGGCGGCUUUCUGGACUGUAACUGACGCUGAGGCGAGAAAGCGUGGGGAGCAAACAGG
rnacentral:rRNA from 1 species